rnacentral:rRNA from 1 species
AGUGAACGCUGGCGGUAGGCCUAACACAUGCAAGUCGAACGGCAGCACAGUAAGAGCUUGCUCUUACGGGUGGCGAGUGGCGGACGGGUGAGGAAUACAUCGUAAUCUACUUUUUCGUGGGGGAUAACGUAGGGAAACUUACGCUAAUACCGCAUACGACCUACGGGUGAAAGCAGGGGAUCUUCGGACCUUGCGCGAUUGAAUGAGCCGAUGUCGGAUUAGCUAGUUGGCGGGGUAAAGGCCCACCAAGGCGACGAUCCGUAGCUGGUCUGAGAGGAUGAUCAGCCACACUGGAACUGGGACACGGUCCCGACGCCUACGGGAGGCAGCAGUGGGGAAUAUUGGACAAUGGGCGGAAGCCUGAUACAGCCAUACCGCGUGGGUGAAGAAGGCCUUCGGGUUGUAAAGCCCUUUUGUUGGGAAAGAAAAGCAGCAGGUUAAUACCCCGCUGUUCUGACGGUACCCAAAGAAUAAGCACCGGCUAACUUCGUG